CGGGUGAGUAACACGUGGAUAACCUACCUAUAAGACUGGGAUAACUUCGGGAAACCGGAGCUAAUACCGGAUAAUAUAUUGAACCGCAUGGUUCAAUAGUGAAAGACGGUUUUGCUGUCACUUAUAGAUGGAUCCGCGCCGCAUUAGCUAGUUGGUAAGGUAAAGGCUUACCAAGGCGAUGAUGCAUAGCCGAGUUGAGAGACUGAUCGGCCACAUUGGGACUGAGACACGGCCCAAACUCCUACGGGAGGCAGCAGCC
rnacentral:rRNA from 1 species